UACUUACUAUGUACUACUCACUGUGCUUAAUACCAAUAUUAUUCUUUUCAAUAAGCACAGCACUUACUGCAAUUUCAUAGAUGAGAAAGCUUGAUUUUUCCAUUUCAUAAUCUAGAAAGUGACAGAACUGGAGUAUAAAUGGAGGUCUGUCUAACUCCAAUGUAACUUCUUUAUUAGAAAUGGCUUCCAAUUUCUAAAGACUAAGAAAAUAACGAUUUCUGAAAUAAGACAUUUUGCCCUUUGAAUAAGUAACCCAGACACAGACAUAUGUAAAGGCCAAUAACAGUAAGAGUAGCACCCAAAACAGCACCAACGUGCAAAUGGUAGNCAGCAGAAUCAGCUGUAAGGAGGAACUUCUCUUGGGCAGAACAAGCCCUUCCAAAAACUACAAUAUGAUGACUGUAUCAGGUUAAGAUAUAGUCUAUGGAUGGAUCAUCUUAUAAUGGAUGGAUAAAUUUGAUUUUUGCUUUGGGUGGGCUCCCCUUGGGGAUGGAUUAUGGAAUUUAAACCAUGUCACAGCUGUGAAGAUCUGGCACAAGAUAGAGUGGUAAAAAAAAAUUUUUUUAAGUGACAGUGCCAUAGUUUGGACAGUACCUUUCAAUGAUUUUAAUAGCCUGUGAGUCCAAGUAAAUGAUCAUCUUAUUUGCUAGGAGUGAAGUCCUAGGAUGGUUUCAGUUUCUCCCAGACAUGAUACCUAAAUUUUUACGUCAGUCCCUUUAAUGAAAAUUUGUAUUUCUCUGCAGUAGAACUUGCAGAGAAAAUUUGCACUAUUACACUUAAAAGUUGUUAUCCUUUUUGGCAGCUCAAUAGGAAAGCUCAACAUUUUAAACAUGGUAGUACUGGAAAUUUUAUGACAAGACUUUUACCUAGCACUUAAUUGGGUAAAAGUCUUUUCCACAAACCACCAUCUAUUUUGUGAACUUUGUUAGUCAUCUUUUAUUUGGUAAAUUAUGAACUGGUGUAAAUUUGUACAGUUCAUGUAUAUUGAUUGUGGCAAAGUUGUACAGAUUUCUAUAUUUUGGAUGAGAAAUUUUUCUUCUCUCUAUAAUAAAUUGUUUCUUAUCUUGGCAUUUAAAAAAAAAAAAGAAAAGUUGUUCACAUUUAUAGUAAAAUAAUUUUAACUUCAUCAUUUAUCUUCACUGGACUGUACUUAGGCCCCUAUUAGUGGUAAGGACUGAGGUUUUUCUGUAUUUAUCACACUGAUCAAAUGGUUGAACAAGGAAAAUGCAAAAACAAUCAGACGACAUCAGGAUAAUUUGGAGAGUCUGUAAGAACAGAUGUUUCUCAACCAGGGUAGCUGGGAACUGCUAAGAUUGUAAAAAGCAGAGCUGUUUUUUAGUAUGUGUUAACCACUGUUGGUAAUCCAGAGGUCCCAGGGAUUAGUUAGGAGAAAAUGCAAAAUUCCCCUGAGCACAGUAACUGCAUCACACAUUUAAAACUAAGUUCUGUAAGGAUGUGUGAAAACAUACUAAAGAAAAAACAAAGAAUUUAGUCUUAAAAUNNNNNNNNNNNNNNNNNNNNNNNNNNNNNNNNNNNNNNNNNNNNNNNNNNNNNNNNNNNNNNNNNNNNNNNNNNNNNNNNNNNNNNNNNNNNNNNNNNNGAUGUGUGAAAACAUACUAAAGAAAAAACAAAGAAUUUAGUCUUAAAAUAAGGGAGAGGCAUUAGUGAAAGUUCAAAAAUCAGUUAACUGGGAUAUACUUACUCUGUAGAGAUCACAUCAGAAGCCAGAUUCUUGUCUCUGUCUGAGAAGAUUUUCUCUGUGUUCUAGCAUGAGUCUGAAAUGAAGUCCAAUUAAUUUUCUGUCAGGACCAGUGCUGGUGGGAGAGCACCCUCUCAGUGUGGCAAGUUUACACUAUAAAGUGUAGCCUCUGGGCUUAGAAACUUCCCAUGUCUGUUUAAAUAGAGCCAAGUAUUUGGAAAGACUUUUCCUACCUGCUCCUUGGGGAUCUUUUGCUUCCUGCUUUCUCUGAAUUGAGUGUAUCAUGUAGUUAUGCACUCUUUUUCAAGUUACAUCAUUUAAAAUAUUGCUAAAAGGUUAUUGUAUGUAAAAAAAAGGAAGUUUAAAAUAUGUCUAUUCUGUUUUUUCUUUUGCUCUGUAUCUACCAUGUGAUGAAGUAGAAUAAGAUAUAAGCU
ensembl:lncRNA